rnacentral:lncRNA from 1 species
UCUGUCCAUCAUCCAGUCACAACGAGAUGUUUUGCUCUCGUCCUGUGCCACAAAUACAAGACAGACCCUCUGCUUGUCUCUCACCGUCCCAUGUUCCAUAGCUGGGGAGAUCUCUCUUGUUCAUACCAGGCUCAUCGCUUGUCUUCUGUCUGGAGUGGUCUUUCCGAAUAUUACCUGACAGCUACUUUUGAUCUUAAGCCUCCAGAGGAAGACUCACUCCUCCUGGCAGGAAUUUUAUCCCAAAUGACAACUAACCCCAGGUGCAAGCAGUAUUCCUUAGACAUUUAAGAGAGUGGCUAGGUCACCCUCACAGGUUUCACUUAUGUUUGGCACAAGGAGGGUCUUUCUUGACUGGGGCUGCGCUAAGAGAGUGUAUGACAGGCCCAGGAUGUAGCUGCUCCUCACUGUUUCUUGCGGGUUUGAAUUUCACGUCCCUUUCUGAAACGCAGUAAGAGCCCAGAGUCGUUCAUUGAGUCUCUCUACACUGCUUUCUUUCUCCUGUUGCCUUAUCUGGAACCCCUGCCUCUGCAUGCCUCCUCGACUCUCUGAGAUACGGACAGACCGUGGCUGCAGCUGGCUUCCUACUGGUGAGGCAGCCGUGCUGUGUGGCUGAUGAACUGACUGAUUUAGUGAGAGGAGAUUUUCCUGUUGGUUUACCAUAGGCAUGAGAGAAAAAGAUUUCCCACCAAGGCCAGAAUGUAUGUUCAAAAAAAAAAAAACCCCACAUUUAAUAAUAUUUAUAGACAUUUUCACAUGUAAAAAUGUUGCAGUACAAUUUGAAUCAAAAUGUAUUUGUCUUAGUUAGGGUUGUACUUCUGUGAAGAGACACCAUGACCAAGGCAACAUGUAUGGGGGACAACAUUUAAUUGGGGCUGGCAGUGGACUGAAACCUCAGAGUGUCCCUGAACCUAACUAAACAUUUCUUUCUGUUAACUGUUUCUCUUGGGUACUUUGUUACAAUGACAGAAAAGUGGGCAGCGAGUGGAUUGAGUGGGUCCAAGAAGCUCCAACCCUGCGUGCAUUUAGAAUUGGGUUGACCUUAGCCUGGAGCAGGCUUCCAUUCUGGCCCUGACUCCUCUCAGUGACAACUCUGAUGUAGGGUUGGAAGCCAGUGAACCCUUUCCUUCCAAGUUGCUGUUAGUCAAACUGUUUAUUGGAGCAACCAAAGCAAACUAGGAUUUCAGAGCUGCGCUGAACUAGUGCCCCCAGCAAAUAGGAAUAUUGGUCCUAGCAAAAGCAGAGUGAUGCCUUUUUUUUAACCCAGAACAGUCUUUCUCUGCAUCCCAUCAUCUAGCCAGGGUCUCAGAGGUGGUGCAAAGGACCACACGGACACCAAAGUAGCUACCACAGGUGUUAGCAGGCACUGCUCUGUGGGCCUUGC